AAUUCCAUAAAUUUUCAUGAACCCACACCUAAUACUGAACGACCCCAUAAAAAUAUGGGAAACAUUAUGCUGGAACCAGUAACAAGAAUAAAACAUUCUCCUCAAUGCAAGCAUAAGCCAAAAUAGAUUAACUACUGGCUAUUAACGAAAAUGAACAAACUACAGCAACACAACAAGAAAACCCUGUACCACCCUUCUCGUUAACCUAACACUAGAGCAUUUCAGGAAAGAUUAAAAGAGGAAGAAGGAACUCGGCAAAUUUUAACCCCGCCUGUUUAACAAAAACAUCGCCUCUUGACAACUAUAAGAGGUCCAGCCUGCCCAGUGAUAAAUUCAACGGCCGCGGUAUCCUAACCGUGCGAAGGUAGCAUAAUCACUUGUUCUUUAAAUAGGGACUCGUAUCAACGGCAUCACGAGGGUUACACUGUCUCCUCCCUCCAAUCAGUGAAACUGAUCUCCCCGUGAAGAAGCGGGGAUGAACUAAUAAGACGAGAAGACCCCAUGGAGCUUUAAAUCUCACUGCAACUCUAACACUUAAUUCCCCUACAACCCUCAGAGAAAUGCACGUCGGUUUUAGGUUGGGGUGACCGCGGAGUAAAAACUAUCCUCCACGACGAAAAGAACUAAAUCUUUAUCUAAGAGCAACCACUCUAAGAAUUAGCAUACUAACGAAUAAUGACCCGAUAAUCGAUCAACGGACCAAGUUACCCUGGGGAUAACAGCGCAAUCUACUUCAAGAGCCCAUAUCGACAAGUAGGCUUACGACCUCGAUGUUGGAUCAGGGUACCCCAGUGGUGCAGCCGCUACUAACGGUUCG
rnacentral:rRNA from 1 species